rnacentral:rRNA from 1 species
UGGGGAAUAUUGCGCAAUGGGCGAAAGCCUGACGCAGCGACGCCGCGUGAGGGAUGAAGGUUUUCGGAUCGUAAACCUCUGUCAGAAGGGAAGAAACCGCACUGUGCUAAUCAGCAGUGCCUUGACGGUACCUUCAAAGGAAGCACCGGCUAACUCCGUGCCAGCAGCCGCGGUAAUACGGAGGGUGCAAGCGUUAAUCGGAAUUACUGGGCGUAAAGCGCACGUAGGCUGCUUUGUAAGUCAGGGGUGAAAUCCCACGGCUCAACCGUGGAACUGCCUUUGAUACUGCUUAGCUUGAAUCCGGGAGAGGGUGGCGGAAUUCCAGGUGUAGGAGUGAAAUCCGUAGAUAUCUGGAGGAACAUCAGUGGCGAAGGCGGCCACCUAGACCGAUAUUGACGCUGAGGUGCGAAAGCGUGGGGAGCAAACAGG